rnacentral:rRNA from 1 species
GAGUUUGAUCAUGGCUCAGGACGAACGCUGGCGGCGUGCCUAAUACAUGCAAGUAGAACGCUGAAGAGAGGAGCCUGCUCUUCUUGGGUGAGUUGCGAACGGGUGAGUAACGCGUAGGUAACCUGCCUUGUAGCGGGGGAUAACUAUUGGAAACGAUAGCUAAUACCGCAUAACAAUAGGUGACACAUGUCAUUUAUUUGAAAGGGGCAAUUGCUCCACUACAAGAUGGACCUGCGUUGUAUUAGCUAGUAGGUGAGGUAACGGCUCACCUAGGCGACGAUACAUAGCCGACCUGAGAGGGUGAUCGGCCACACUGGGACUGAGACACGGCCCAGACUCCUACGGGAGGCAGCAGUAGGGAAUCUUCGGCAAUGGGGGCAACCCUGACCGAGCAACGCCGCGUGAGUGAAGAAGGUUUUCGGAUCGUAAAGCUCUGUUGUAAGUCAAGAACGAGUGUGAGAGUGGAAAGUUCACACUGUGACGGUAGCUUACCAGAAAGGGACGGCUAACUACGUGCCAGCAGCCGCGGUAAUACGUAGGUCCCGAGCGUUGUCCGGAUUUAUUGGGCGUAAAGCGAGCGCAGGCGGUUUGAUAAGUCUGAAGUUAAAGGCUGUGGCUCAACCAUAGUUCGCUUUGGAAACUGUCAAACUUGAGUGCAGAAGGGGAGAGUGGAAUUCCAUGUGUAGCGGUGAAAUGCGUAGAUAUAUGGAGGAACACCGGUGGCGAAAGCGGCUCUCUGGUCUGUAACUGACGCUGAGGCUCGAAAGCGUGGGGAGCGAACAGGAUUAGAUACCCUGGUAGUCCACGCCGUAAACGAUGAGUGCUAGGUGUUGGAUCCUUUCCGGGAUUCAGUGCCGCAGCUAACGCAUUAAGCACUCCGCCUGGGGAGUACGACCGCAAGGUUGAAACUCAAAGGAAUUGACGGGGGCCCGCACAAGCGGUGGAGCAUGUGGUCUAAUUCGAAGCAACGCGAAGAACCUUACCAGGUCUUGACAUCCCGAUGCUAUUUCUAGAGAUAGAAAGUUACUUCGGUACAUCGGUGACAGGUGGUGCAUGGUUGUCGUCAGCUCGUGUCGUGAGAUGUUGGGUUAAGUCCCGCAACGAGCGCAACCCCUAUUGUUAGUUGCCAUCAUUCAGUUGGGCACUCUAGCGAGACUGCCGGUAAUAAACCGGAGGAAGGUGGGGAUGACGUCAAAUCAUCAUGCCCCUUAUGACCUGGGCUACACACGUGCUACAAUGGUUGGUACAACGAGUUGCGAGUCGGUGACGGCAAGCUAAUCUCUUAAAGCCAAUCUCAGUUCGGAUUGUAGGCUGCAACUCGCCUACAUGAAGUCGGAAUCGCUAGUAAUCGCGGAUCAGCACGCCGCGGUGAAUACGUUCCCGGGCCUUGCACACACCGCCCGUC